rnacentral:rRNA from 1 species
UACAGAGGGUGCGAGCGUUAAUCGGAAUUACUGGGCGUAAAGCGCGCGUAGGCGGCUUUGCAAGUCGGGUGUGAAAUCCCCAGGCUUAACCUGGGAACUGCAUUCGAGACUGCAUUGCUAGAGUAUGGGAGAGGGAAGUGGAAUUUCCGGUGUAGCGGUGAAAUGCGUAGAUAUCUGGAGGAACACCGGUGGCGAAGGCGGGGUCCUGGGCCAGUACUGACGCUGAGGAGCGAAAGCGUGGGGAGCGAACAGG